rnacentral:rRNA from 1 species
UACGUAGGGGGCAAGCGUUGUCCGGAUUUAUUGGGCGUAAAGAGCGUGUAGGCGGCCUUACAGGUCAGCUGUGAAAACAUCGAGGCUCAACCUCGAGACGUCGGUUGAAACCGUAUGGCUAGAGUCCGGAAGAGGAGAGUGGAAUUCCCGGUGUAGCGGUGAAAUGCGCAGAUAUCAGGAGGAACACCAAUGGCGAAGGCAGCUCGCUGGGACGUGACUGACGCUGGAGACGCGAAAGCGUGGGGAGCAAACAGG